rnacentral:misc_RNA from 1 species
AAGUCGUAACAAGGUUUCCGUAGGUGAACCUGCGGAAGGAUCAUUACCAAAUCCAAAUACCUAAACCCCAUGUGAACUAUUGUUUAGUCUGUCUUUGGGAGAAAGAUGAAAAGAGGAAAGGAAGAUAGUAUUUUUAAGGAGUUUUAUUCUCUGUUAUUGUCUUCUUUUUUUUCCUAGUAGUAUUUCUCCCAAUAGAGUCCGGCGCAAUCGUUUGGUUGUGUCCAGAUUCGAAACCCCUUUUUUAAAACCACUUGAUUUUUCUGUUGGAAUUUCUUUUAUUAAUUUUAAAUAAAAGACAACUUUUAACGGUGGAUCUCUUGGCUCGUG